AGGAUGAGCAAAGAAAAACGUCCCUCGAAGCACACAGCAUCCCGAGUGAUGCCUACAGCAUCCCGAGUGACUCGCGCAGUCCCAAAGACAGCGUUGACCCACUGAGUCUUUAAGUAUCUGCUCUAUCAAACCAGCCCCUCACGGACCCUGGACACCUGACAUCCAGCAAGCUUUGGGGACCACUCUGUAAACAGCAUCGUAACUAGUCACCUGACUCAUCCUCUGUUCUGCAAACCUGGGAAUCUGAGGGCGGCAGCAUUCACACACAGUGAGAGCCUGGGCUCUGCUCUCAGGACCUGCAAGUCUCAGGUGCCUUCACCUGCACUACAUCUGCACUGCCCUCGCUGCAGUGAGUAGACCAGACCCGCCUCUGCCCCGCCCACUCGGAUCUCUGCGGGCUACGCCCCCGCUGUUCUCUUCCUUCCCCUGUCCCUCCAUCCUCUCUUCACCUUCUGGCAUUUUCCACUCUGACACUGACCUUUGCGUUGACACAGUCAGUCAAUAUGUGAAACCCUUGCUUUUCUCAACCUAAAAUAAAUCCAUAAUUAAUUCAUUAA
rnacentral:lncRNA from 1 species